GCCCAGGUAGCUCAGUUGGUAGAGCAAAGGACUGAAAAUCCUUGUGUCGCUGGUUCGAUUCCUGCCCUGGGCAC
rnacentral:tRNA from 1 species